rnacentral:pre_miRNA from 1 species
UUAAUUCAAAUAUGAAUGGAGUUGGAACGAUUGCCUAUGUUUGCCGCUAGGGGUGCUGUUCCAACUGCAUACUAAAUUGAGUUA